GAUAAUUUAAAUGGCCGCAGAAUUUUAACUGUGCAAAGGUAGCAUAAUCAUUAGUCUUUUAAUUGUGGACUGGAAUGAAUGAUUGGACGAAAUAUAAACUGUUUCAUAUAAAAAAGUAUAAUUUUAUUUUUUAGUAAAAAAGCUAAAAUUUUUUAAAAAGACGAGAAGACCCUAUAGAUCUUUAUAUCUAUCUUUUUAGCUUAUAAUAAAGAAAUUUUAUUUAUCUAUAGGGAUUAUAUUUUAUUGGGGUGAUAGUAAAAUUUAAUUAACUUUUAGAUAAUUGAACAUUGAUUUAUGAAUUGUUGAUCCUUUAUAUUGAUUAAAAAUUUAAGUUACCUUAGGGAUAACAGCGUAAUCAUUCUGGAGAGUUCCUAUCGAUAGAAUGGAUUGCGACCUCGAUGUUGGAUUAAGAUAAAUCUUAGGUGCAGAAGCUUAAGUGAUAAGUCUGUUCGACUUUUAAAUUCUU
rnacentral:rRNA from 1 species